rnacentral:rRNA from 1 species
CCUAGGGGGGGCUGCAGUGGGGAAUAUUGGACAAUGGGCGAAAGCCUGAUCCAGCCAUGCCGCGUGUGUGAAGAAGGCCUUCGGGUUGUAAAGCACUUUCAGUGGGGAAGAAAGCCUUGGGGCUAAUACCCUCGAGGAAGGACAUCACCCACAGAAGAAGCACCGGCUAACUCCGUGCCAGCAGCCGCGGUAAUACGGAGGGUGCGAGCGUUAAUCGGAAUUACUGGGCGUAAAGCGCGCGUAGGCGGUCUGAUAAGCCGGUUGUGAAAGCCCCGGGCUCAACCUGGGAACGGCAUCCGGAACUGUCAGGCUAGAGUGCAGGAGAGGAAGGUAGAAUUCCCGGUGUAGCGGUGAAAUGCGUAGAGAUCGGGAGGAAUACCAGUGGCGAAGGCGGCCUUCUGGACUGACACUGACGCUGAGGUGCGAAAGCGUGGGUAGCAAACAGGAUUAGAUACCCCAGUAGUC